GAUGAACGCUAGCUACAGGCUUAACACAUGCAAGUCGAGGGGCAGCAUUAUCGAAGCUUGCUUUGAUAGAUGGCGACCGGCGCACGGGUGAGUAACGCGUAUCCAACCUUCCCCAUAGUCAGGAAUAGCCCGGCGAAAGUCGAAUUAAUGCCUGAUGUUUUCCACGGACGGCAUCCGAUGUGGAACAAAGAUUGAUCGCUAUGGGAUGGGGAUGCGUCUGAUUAGCUUGUUGGCGGGGUAACGGCCCACCAAGGCAACGAUCAGUAGGGGUUCUGAGAGGAAGGUCCCCCACAUUGGAACUGAGACACGGUCCAA
rnacentral:rRNA from 1 species